CGGCUGACAGGUCAUAAGUCGAUCUGGUCGUAAGUCGGAUAUAUAUUUUUCAACACUAUUUUCAUUCAAAUGCAACUAAUAAAAAUAGGAAAACAAAAAUUU